UUCCGGUUGAUCCUGCCGGAGGUCACUGCUAUUGGGAUUCGACUAAGCCAUGCGAGUCGAGAGGGUUCGGCCCUCGGCUGACGGCUCAGUAACACGUGGAUAAUCUGCCCUUAGGUGGAGGAUAAUCUCGGGAAACUGAGGAUAAUACUCCAUAGAUCUAGGAUGCUGGAAUGCAUCUAGAUUGAAAGCUCCGGCGCCUAAGGAUGAGUCUGCGGACUAUCAGGUUGUAGUCAGGGUAAAGACCUGACUAGCCUACGACGGAUACGGGUUGUGAGAGCAAUAACCCGGAGACGAUAUCUGAGACACGAUAUCGGGCCCUACGGGGCGCAGCAGGCGCGAAAACUUCACACUGUGCGAAAGCGCGAUGAGGGAAUCCCAAGUGUUUGCUCGUAAGAGUAAACUGUUUCUUUGUUUAAAACGCAGAGAGAGUAAGGGCUGGGUAAGACGGGUGCCAGCCGCCGCGGUAAUACCUGCAGCUCAAGUGGUGAUCAUUAUUAUUGGGCCUAAAACGUCCGUAGCCGGUUUAGUAAAUGCCUGGGUAAAUCGUGUAGCUUAACUAUACGACUUCCGGGUAGACUGCUAAACUUGAGACCGGGAGUGGCUAGAGGUACUCCUGGGGUAGAGGUGAAAUUCUGUAAUCCUAGGGGGACCACCAGUGGCGAAGGCGUCUAGCUAGAACGGGUCUGACGGUGAGGGACGAAGCCCUGGGGCACAAACCGGAUUAGAUACCCGGGUAGUCCAGGGUGUAAACGCUGCUUGCUUGAUGUUAGUUGGGCUCCGAGCCCAACUAGUGUCGGAGAGAAGUUGUUAAGCAAGCUGCCUGGGGAAGUACGGUCGCAAGGCUGAAACUUAAAGGAAUUGGCGGGGGAGCACAGCAACGGGUGGAGCGUGCGGGUUUAAUUGGAUUCAACGCCCGGA
rnacentral:rRNA from 1 species